rnacentral:rRNA from 1 species
UACGAGGGGGGCGAGCGUUGUUCGGAAUUAUUGGGCGUAAAGAGCGUGUAGGCGGCUUGGUAGGUCCGCUGUGAAAACUCGAGGCUCAACCUCGAGAUGUCGGCGGAAACCACUUGGCUAGAGUCCGGAAGAGGAGAGUGGAAUUCCCGGUGUAGCGGUGAAAUGCGCAGAUAUCGGGAAGAACACCUAUGGCGAAGGCAGCUCUCUGGGACGGUACUGACGCUGAGACGCGAAAGCGUGGGGAGCGAACAGG